GUUUUCGUGGUGUAGUGGUCAGCACGCUCGGCGCGUAUUCGAGAGGUCCAUGGUUCAAGUCCCGUCGAAAGCA
rnacentral:tRNA from 1 species